rnacentral:rRNA from 1 species
GACGAACGCUGGCGGCGUGCUUAACACAUGCAAGUCGAACGGAAAGGCCCUGCUUUUGUGGGGUGCUCGAGUGGCGAACGGGUGAGUAACACGUGAGUAACCUGCCCUUGACUUUGGGAUAACUUCAGGAAACUGGGGCUAAUACCGGAUAGGAUCUCCUGCUGCAUGGUGGGGGUUGGAAAGUUUCGGCUGUUGGGGAUGGACUCGCGGCUUAUCAGCUUGUUGGUGGGGUAGUGGCUUACCAAGGCUUUGACGGGUAGCCGGCCUGAGAGGGUGACCGGCCACAUUGGGACUGAGAUACGGCCCAGACUCCUACGGGAGGCAGCAGUGGGGAAUAUUGCACAAUGGGCGGAAGCCUGAUGCAGCAACGCCGCGUGCGGGAUGACGGCCUUCGGGUUGUAAACCGCUUUCGCCUGUGACGAAGCGUGAGUGACGGUAAUGGGUAAAGAAGCACCGGCUAACUACGUG